rnacentral:rRNA from 1 species
CCUACGGGAGGCUGCAGUGGGGAAUAUUGGGCAAUGGGCGCAAGCCUGACCCAGCAACGCCGCGUGAAGGAAGAAGGCUUUCGGGUUGUAAACUUCUUUUAAGAGGGAAGAGCAGAAGACGGUACCUCUUGAAGAAGCAACGGCUAAAUACGUGCCAGUAGCAGCGGUAAUACGUAGGGGGCAAGUGUUGGCCGGAUUUACUGGGUGUAAAGGGCGUGCAGCAGGGAAGAAAAGUCAGAUGUGACAUCCCGCGGCUCAACCGCGGAACUGCAUUUGAAACUGUUUUUCUUGAGUACCGGAGAGGUCAGCGGAAUUCCUUGUGUAGCGGUGAAAUGCGUAGAUAUAAGGAAGAACACCAGUGGCGAAGGCGGAUGACUGGACGGCAACUGAC